rnacentral:rRNA from 1 species
GGAACGAACGCUGGCGGCAUGCCUAAUACAUGCAAGUCGAACGAACACUUCGGUGUUAGUGGCGCACGGGUGCGUAACGCGUGGGAAUCUGCCCUUGGGUUCGGAAUAACAGUUGGAAACGACUGCUAAUACCGGAUGAUAUCGAAAGAUCAAAGAUUUAUCGCCCAGGGAUGAGCCCGCGUAGGAUUAGCUAGUUGGUGAGGUAAAGGCUCACCAAGGCGACGAUCCUUAGCUGGUCUGAGAGGAUGAUCAGCCACACUGGGACUGAGACACGGCCCAGACUCCUACGGGAGGCAGCAGUAGGGAAUAGUUGGACAAUGGGCGACAAGCCUAGGAUCCGAGCAAUGCCGCGUGAGUGAAUGGAAGGCCGUUUAAGGGUAGUAAAGUCUUCCGUUUUAACCGAGUAUAGAAUAA